rnacentral:lncRNA from 1 species
GGCUUUAUCAAAAUAAUGAGAAAAAAAUGCUAAUGCUUGUCUUUUAAAUUGUAUGUGAAAGUAACAUUUUAAGUUGAUUUUUUAUAUGUUUAUAUGUUUCUAGUUUGUGAGGAAUAUGUUGUGAAGAAUAUGUUGGCAUGUGUGUGCUAUUUACUUUUGAAUAUAGAUAUUAUCCAAUAACAAAACAACAACAAAAGCAGAACAUUAUUUUCUAAUGCAAUUAGUCUCUAGAAAUGAGAAGUUCAUUUUCAAAGAUGAAGGAAUUCUGGAAGCAUCUCCAUCUUUCUACAGCUCAAGGCUUUUAAUAAUUUAGUGGAGAAAUACCACAAGAAUGACCUACUUGAAUUGGACUUUGUCAUUAAACGCCAAAGGAAAAAUAAAUUGCAUUGCAUGAAACGUAAAUGGAAAUGUAAUACAAAACAUACCAAAUUGGAUAUUUUCUUUCUCCAGAAGUUUCUACAGGGAACUGGAGACCAUAUUGGAAAGAGCUGGGAAUUCAAUCCUGGGACUUAAUGGCUCUGCUCUGGUCCUAGUUGGCUGAAUGGCAUUAACAAGCUGCUUCAGAUUUUUGGAAUUUCAUUUUCUCUGAUUUGAAACGAGAGCCUUGGAGAGGAAGGGAUCCAAGGUGCAUGACCUACAGGAGCUUGGAGGCUCAAGUAGCCCUCGAGCCCUGAAGAGGACAGAAGGGCGAAGCUAACAGUGUAAAAAUCCACAUCCAGUCACCUCAUCAGGUCACAGCGGGAGCUGGAAUAUGCCGUGAGAUCACGCAAGCGCUUUGUCCUUACUAUGAUGCUCAUUGAAACUGUAAUAUUUUGGACCCACAGAAGCCUCCUUUUGCCAUUAGUUAAUUAGUCAAAAGAUCUGAAUUUUUAGUGCCUAUAAAAAUACUCUUUUAUCAAAUUUGUGAGCCAAGGUUAGAGGAGCAGUAGAAAGUAGGUUCUUGAUCAAAAAUGUGAUAGCUGGUUGUUGAUCUUCCAGAAAGGGCAGCUUAAUUCAGAAGUGCCUUAGGCCUAUUGUUACCAAGAAUUGAUUUAUACUCUCAAGGAUGUGCAAUGUGUCAUUUCAGGAUUUAGCUGGAAACCCCAAAUCAUUUGAGACCAUGGAAGAGACAGAUAAGGUUUUUUUUUUCUGAGAGGAGUAUCCCUAUGAGCCAGGGUCAGUAUGCCAUCUUCUUUCAGCAUCAACUCUUAUCAGUGACCGUGGUGAUAAUAAUGAUGACGAUAAU